UUGGAGGGCAAGUCUGGUGCCAGCAGCCGCGGUAAUUCCAGCUCCAAUAGCGUAUAUUAAAGUUGUUGCAGUUAAAGAGCUCGUAGUUGAAUUUCGAGACCGGCUUACUGGUCGUGCUAUUGUGCGUACUGGUAUAAUCGGUUUCUCCUUUCUGACGAACUAUAAUGCCAUUAAUUUGGUGUUAUAGGGAAUCAGGACUGUUACUUUGAAAAAAUUAGAGUGUUUAAAGCAGGC
rnacentral:rRNA from 1 species